AACGAACGCUGGCGGCAUGCCUAACACAUGCAAGUCGAACGAAGGCUUCGGCCUUAGUGGCGCACGGGUGCGUAACGCGUGGGAAUCUGCCCUUUGCUUCGGAAUAACAGUAAGAAAUGACUGCUAAUACCGGAUGAUGUCGCAAGACCAAAGAUUUAUCGGCAAAGGAUGAGCCCGCGUAGGAUUAGCUAGUUGGUGGGGUAAAGGCCUACCAAGGCGACGAUCCUUAGCUGGUCUGAGAGGAUGAUCAGCCACACUGGGACUGAGACACGGCCCAGACUCCUACGGGAGGCAGCAGUGGGGAAUAUUGGACAAUGGGCGAAAGCCUGAUCCAGCAAUGCCGCGUGAGUGAUGAAGGCCUUAGGGUUGUAAAGCUCUUUUACCCGGGAUGAUAAUGACAGUACCCGGAGAAUAAGCUCCGGCUAACUCCGCG
rnacentral:rRNA from 1 species